AGUGAACGCUGGCGGUAGGCCUAACACAUGCAAGUCGAACGGCAGCACAGUAAGAGCUUGCUCUUACGGGUGGCGAGUGGCGGACGGGUGAGGAAUACAUCGGAAUCUACUUUUUCGUGGGGGAUAACGUAGGGAAACUUACGCUAAUACCGCAUACGACCUACGGGUGAAAGCAGGGGAUCUUCGGACCUUGCGCGAUUGAAUGAGCCGAUGUCGGAUUAGCUAGUUGGCGGGGUAAAGGCCCACCAAGGCGACGACCCGUAGCUGGUCUGAGAGGAUGAUCAGCCACACUGGAACUGAGACACGGUCCAGACUCCUACGGGAGGCAGCAGUGGGGAAUAUUGGACAAUGGGCGCAAGCCUGAUCCAGCCAUACCGCGUGGGUGAAGAAGGCCUUCGGGUUGUAAAGCCCUUUUGUUGGGAAAGAAAAGCAGCAGGUUAAUACCCCGCUGUUCUGACGGUACCCAAAGAAUGAGCACCGGCUAACUUCGUG
rnacentral:rRNA from 1 species